rnacentral:rRNA from 1 species
ACGCUCGACACCUACGGGAGGCAGCAGGUGGGGAAUAUUGCACAAGUGGGGGAAACCCUGAUGCAGCGACGCCGCGUGGAGGAAGAAGGUCUUCGGAUUGUAAACUCCUGUUGUUGGGGAAAAAGAGGAUGGUACCCAACAAGGAAGUGACGGCUAACUACGUGCCAGUAGCCGCGGUAAUCUGAGCGGGCUGGCAAGGC